CUUUCUACUCUGCUACCUAGUCUUGGUGAUCACUGUUCUGUUGUCUGACUCCCCACGGGUUUGAGUUUUUCAUGUCUCUACAUGCUGCUUUUGUGUGUGCAGUACCAACAGCAAUGGAUGAAAUGUCUUUUUUAAUCGAGUUUAGACACCUUUAUACCAGUGCAAAAACAAGAAGGGAAUCUUUGCCUAACAGCAUUCACCUCCUUCCAGAGGCACUGCAUACAGUCCCUGUUGAGCAGCCUCUCAAGAUCUUGUUUGUCAUAACUUCUUUUGGAGAAAAAUCAGUGUGGAUGUUCUCUCAUUUUUUUCUACCUGGACUACUCAUACAUCUAUCACCCGAAUCAUGGCACACUUGUGAAGGAUGGAAACAGUGUAGUCUUGUUUACUACAAAGAGAAGAGCCCAUGGGUUUACACGUGGGUUCUGAAGAAGUAAAAGCAGAAGUACACAAAGUGCUGAAGUAAAAACUACUUCCCAUGAUUUCAUUUUUUAUAUAGUUUUGUGCAAGUCAGCUGCAAAUUUUCUGCACAGUUAUUAGAAUGAAUUUUUCCUUUUCAUUCUCUCUAUCUUUCUCACAAUUGGAUUUAAACUUAACACUCCACAAAGCUGCAUACAGUGGCAUGUCUACUAAUGUAUGGCAGGAAAUUUUGCAUAUACACAGUCAGAUAAACAAACUCAACCCUCAGAAAAUGCUCAAAGAGAACAGCACAAAUUCACUUUCAUCCAUUUGGUCUAUGUAAAUGUCAUCUGUGGGAGAAAAGCAAAUAAUAUGAGAAAAGGUAUAGGAUCCCUGAAAAUAACAUUUCUGA
ensembl:lncRNA